rnacentral:rRNA from 1 species
AUUGAACGCUGGCGGCAGGCCUAACACAUGCAAGUCGGACGAGUGGCGGCCGGGUGAGUAAUGUCUUGGAAACUGCCUGAUGGCGGGGGAUAACUACUGGAAACGGUAGCUAAUACCGCAUACCAUCAGAUGUGCCCAUAUGGGAUUAGCUAGUAGGUGGGGUAAAGGCUCACCUAGGCGACGAUCCCUAGCUGGUCUGAGAGGAUGACAAGCCACACUGGAACUGAGACACGGUCCAGACUCCUACGGGAGGCAGCAGUGGGGAAUAUUGCACAAUGGGGGAAAGCCUGAUGCAGCCAUGCCGCGUGUAUGAAGAAGGCCUUCGGGUUGUAAAGUACUUUCAGCGGGGAGGCGUUACCAGCAGAAGAAGCACCGGCUAACUCCGUGCCAGCGGCCGCGGUAAUUC